GUGAUUAGAGGUUCUGGAUGUGAUCAGAGGUCCUGAUGGUGUUAUCAUGUUCUGAUGGUGUAGUCGGAUGUUCUGAAGGUAUGGUAAUAUGUUCUGGGGGUGUGAUCAGAGGCUCUGAGGGUGAGGUGAUAGGUUCUGGGGUGUGAUCAGAGGCUCUGAGGGUGAGGUGAUAGGUUCUGGGGGUGCGAUCAGUGGACAGAGUAUCUUUGGGAACUGGAGUAAGUAGUUCGAGGUUCAGUGGGAGUGGCAGCAAGGGAUAAGAUCUCCAGUGGGAGCAUAUGGGAGUGGCCAGAGUAUCUUUAAGAGUGGGUGGGAGUGGUCAGAAUAUAUCUGCGAGCAGGUGGGAAUGGUCAGAGUGUCUUUAAAAGUGGGUGGGUGUGGUCAGAGUACCUUCGAGAGUGAGUGGGAGUGGUCAGAGUAUCUUUGAGAGUGGGUGGGAGUGGUCAGAAUAUAUUUGGGAGCAGGUAGGAGUGGUCAGAGUGUCUUUGAGAGUGGGUGGGAGUGGUCAGAAUAUAUUUGGGAGCAGGUAGGAGUGGUCAGAGUGUCUUUAAGUCUGGGUGGGAGUGGUCAGAGAAUCUGCUAGAGCAGGUGGGAGUGAACGAGGUAAUAUUUCCUUUGUUUUUUUCCCUAAAAUGAGUCAAACUGUGGUGAUUUUGUUCUACUGUGCUUCUCUCUGUUACCGUAGAGACUAGAAAAAAGGCUGUUAUGUACAACAAAAUUAGCAGGACGGCCUUAUACCACUGCGGUUCGUACACCUGCAUGAAAGUAGAGGCUGCUGUCUCACUCUAUUACUGUCUGUCUCUAUGUUACUCUUCUCCUACCAUUACACACACACACACA
ensembl:lncRNA